UACGAAGGGGGCUAGCGUUGCUCGGAAUCACUGAGCGUAAAGGGUGCGUAGGCGGGGCUUUAAGUCAGGGGUGAAAUCCUGGAGCUCAACUCCAGAACUGCCUUUGAUACUGAAGAUCUUGAGUUCGGGAGAGGUGAGUGGAACUCCGAGUGUAGAGGUGAAAUUCGUAGAUAUUCGGAAGAACACCAGUGGCGAAGGCGGCUCACUGGCCCGGUACUGACGCUGAAAUACGAAAGCGUGGGGAGCAAACAGG
rnacentral:rRNA from 1 species